ACUUGUUCUUUUCAUAUUCUCAAAGUCCAACAGUGUUAGAAUCCCUUCUUUUACAGAAAUCUAGCAUGUUUAAGAUUUUUUAAGAGAAAUCUAACCAGGGUUAUUAUAGGAAUUGAAAAUUUUGGGAAAUAUAGCCACUUUUAUAUAGUUCUAGGCAAGGUUCGCCCUACCGGUACCGAACCCCGUACCGGUGCCGCAUUAGUAUAGGCGUACCGAGUGUCGGUACGGUACCGUACGCUCGGUACCGACCGUACCGACAUUGGUGUACCGAUACCGGUACCCAUCGGUACGGGUACGGUACGCUCGGUACCGACCGGUACCGACCGGUACAGCGAACCUUGGUUCUAGGAUUAACACUAGAUAAUUAAGAUAGCGAUAAUGUAGAUUUGCAGCCCAUAUGAUUGCUCUUUAUUAUUGACAGCAUAAAUUAGCAUACGACAAGUCAUGAAGAAAACAUAUCAAGCAAUCUGUUAAAAGGUCAUACUGUUACCUGGGGAUCGUGAGGUGUUGUAAUCAAUUCGCAAUGGGAACCCAAGGAGAACAUAUGCAGAUGGAAACUUGAAGUCAUUGCUCUUGGCCAUAUGCAUAGAGAAGAAACACUACACACAUGCACACACACACACACACACACACACACACACAGACACACACACAGAGAGAUGUAUGGGAAUCUCGAUGGAUGAAGCCUUAGAAGUUAACAU
rnacentral:lncRNA from 1 species